UGGUCACUCCCCAGGCAUCCAGCAGCAGCUUCCCAACCAUUCUGACCCCUAAAUGCAUUCUCCACAAAGCAGUCAGAACUGUCCCUUUAACGUGUAAGUCACGUGGCGGCUCUGCUCAGAAUCUCCCACGCCCACUCACUUCUUCCAGAAUAAAAGCUGUGGCGAGGUCUACGAGGCAUGAUCUGCCCGUGGCUUCUCACACGGCCCUCUGCUCCCUCCGCUCCGGCCACCCCGCCAGGCCAGCGCUGUUCCUCCAGCACCCCCAGCACGUGCCUGCCCUGGGGUCUUUGCACCUGCUGUUCCCCUACCUGGCAUCUUCCCCGACGCCCACCGGAGUGCUCCUGCAGGGUCUGCACGAGGCCUUCCUGACCUGCCUGCACCCCCACGCUCCCCCCGUGUGGUUUUCUCUGCGGCUCUCGUUACUCCUUGCCGGCCAUGUAUGGUGCCUAUUUAUUUCGCUUAUUUUCUGUCUUCUCUGAUGGGACGUGAGUUCAAAGGGCCAGAACUUUUUGCCAGUUUUUUUGGGCUGCUAUACCCCCAUCCUGGCAUGUGGUAGGUGUUCAGUGAAUGAAUGAUGAGUGAAUGAAGGAAGGAAGGAAAGAUGUUAGCCCAGAUGCUCAGAAGAGAAUUCCUCCUGCCUGGGGAGGCUCCCAGCCCUCCCAAGCGCUGCUGCAUUUCUGCCGUUGUCCAGGGGAGAACACAAAUCAUGCUCAUGGGCGAUUGAGUCCUUCUUCCACCCCAGGCACAGUCUCCAGCGUUUUAUGUCAUUAACUCAUGAGACUGCAGGGCAAUCGCUACCUCCAGUUGGCUUAUGGGGAAACAGAGGCACAGAUGGUCACACCAUUUGCCCAGAGUCGUGCUGCUGGCCAGUGGUGAAGCUGGGAUUUGAACCUGGGUUCUGGCAAGCCAGCCAUUCCAAGCCACUGGGGACAACCCAAAACCACCUAUUCUCGGGAAGCAUUCUCCUGAUCUCCUUCUUGCUUCCCUGACUGCCUUCAGGAGCCAGCCCUGGACUCACGGAGGCAGGACUAACACGCGCUGAAAUCCACCCCUCAGUCUACAGCCCCACGAGCUUUGAACCACAACCAACACAGACUCACGGAGGCGGGACUAACGCGCUGAAACCACGAGCUAUGAUCCACAACGAAGAUACAGAACAUUUCCGUCACCCCAGAGUUCCCAGCGCCCCUAUGGCCACCCCACCCCUCCUCCGACCUUCCUCCUGUCCCAACGGCUCAGCGUUGUCCAGAACCUCAAGUGCUUGGAAUCACCCAGGGCCUUGGAGUCUGGCGUCUUUCAGCAGCAAGCCUGCCUUCAAGAACCUGCAUCUUAGAGAAGACCCAGGGGAGGCCUGAGAUUCUGCCAGUCUGAGUCAUCCACCUCACCGAGCCAGAAAGCAGAAAAGAGGUUACCAGGCGCUGGGGGUCAGGGUUUAAUGGGGACAGAGUUUCAGUCUGGGGAGAGAGAAGGUUCUGGAGGUGGAUGGUGGCGACGGUUGCACAGCAAUGUGAACGUGCUUCACGCCGCUCAACUGUGCCCUUCCAGAUGGUAAAACAGCACAUUUUAAGUGAUGUGUGUUUCACCAUGAAUCAAAAAUAAAGAAAAGCUUCUUUCUUCUCUUAAUACAAACUACUAGAUCACCACGUGAGAUUUGAUUGAGAAAAACGAAGGCAGCCUCUGGUUCGUGCACAGGUCGGACGUCCUCUCGGGCCCUGCUCAGCCCAGGGCCCUCUCUGCCCAUCAUCAGAUGUUACCAGCUGGGAGCCCCAGUGCCCCUGAGAACAGACCUGGAGAUCCCUGGGCUGCUGCCUGAGGCCUGCCUCACCUGUGGGGUGGCUUGUGGUGGUUCUUGGCAAGCACAGGGUGGCUGUACCCCCUUGCUGCCCUCAGUACCCACAGAACUGCAGGCACAGCCCCAGGACCCCAUUUGUCCUUGGAGUUGAACAUCCUCAGAAUGCUGUCAGUCCAAGUGCAGGACAGCCCGGGAGAGCUGACCCCGGGUCACAAUGCAGAGCUGUGAACAGGAAGAAUGAUCAGCUUUGGUGCCGGCUUUCUGCGACAGGUUGACUUGUCCGAGUCUUUGCUAAGAAACCAGGCCACCGUCUCCGAUUCCCUCACUGUUUGUAGAACAGAACGAGUUGUUUAUUUGGAGCUGUUUCUUGUGGUCUGGGUUUUGCUGGCUGCAUCCUAAUGGUACAUUUGUCCCUGUUCCUCUGUCCCUGGUGUGUCCUGUGUGUUGGAUCAGGGGCUCCAUGAGAUUCAGAUUCAAUGGCUUUGCUCCAAGGAUGCCACGAGGCUGUGUGCACACCAGGGCUCACCUCACACCUAACUCUCUCCCCUUCGUGACCCCAGCAGCUGUCAAGAAUCCAUGCCUACAUCCAUUGAUUUAUGAGGAUUGCACCUGAUGGGUGGUAUUCUGACCAUCCUGCUCCUUCUUCACUUAUUGAUGAACAUUUCUGGGCUGAGACACUGCCUUUUAUCUACUCUUGGGUUAUUCUAAAGUACCGUUUGAAUAGAAAAGGCAGGAAAAAUACUCCAUUCCUUUCCUCUAAAGGGUCAUGGGCUCAGACUGGAGGAAGUGUGUGACUCUUGGCCCCACACCAACAGCCCUCUAUGCCCUGCGCUGCAGGUGAGGACACUGUGGCCGCUACGGCCAGAGCCAGAGCUGCCCACAGCUGCGUGGCGUGGGUCCCCUUCCCGUCCUCACGGGAGGUCAGAGUGGAGCAGGCUGUUCCUAAGGACCCCUUGAAGAACUUCUUCUGCAACUUUUUUUUUCUUUGAGACAGUUGUCACCCA
rnacentral:lncRNA from 10 species